rnacentral:tRNA from 1 species
GGCACGGUAGCCAAGUGGUAAGGCAUGGGUCUGCAAAACCCUGAGCGGCGGUUCGAUUCCGCCCCGUGCCUCCA